rnacentral:rRNA from 1 species
UUAGAGUUUGAUCCUGGCUCAGAUUGAACGCUGGCGGAAUGCUUUACACAUGCAAGUCGAACGGCAGCACGGGGGCAACCCUGGUGGCGAGUGGCGAACGGGUGAGUAAUACAUCGGAACGUGCCCAGUCGUGGGGGAUAANUACGCGAAAGCGUAGCUAAUACCGCAUACGAUCUACGGAUGAAAGCGGGGGAUCGCAAGACCUCGCGCGAUUGGAGCGGCCGAUGGCAGAUUAGGUAGUUGGUGGGGUAAAGGCUCACCAAGCCUGCGAUCUGUAGCUGGUCUGAGAGGACGACCAGCCACACUGGGACUGAGACACGGCCCAGACUCCUACGGGAGGCAGCAGUGGGGAAUUUUGGACAAUGGGCGCAAGCCUGAUCCAGCCAUUCCGCGUGCAGGAUGAAGGCCUUCGGGUUGUAAACUGCUUUUGUACGGAACGAAAAGGCUCUGGUUAAUACCUGGGGCUCAUGACGGUACCGUAAGAAUAAGCACCGGCUAACUACGUGCCAGCAGCCGCGGUAAUACAAUGGAAUU